GACGAACGCUGGCGGCGUGCUUAACACAUGCAAGUGGAGCGACGAACCGGGCUUCGGCCCGGGGCAAAGCCGCGAACGGGUGAGUAUCACGUGGGUAACCUGCCCCGAUGACCGGGAUAACCCGAGGAAACUCGAGCUAAUACCGGAUGUGCUCGCCGCACAUCAGUGCGGUGAACAAAGGAAGCUUCGGCCUCCGCAUUGGGAUGGGCCCGCGGCCCAUUAGCUUGUUGGUGAGGUAACGGCUCACCAAGGCUGCGAUGGGUAGCUGGUCUGGGAGGACGAUAAGCCAAACUGGGACGGAGAAACGGCCCAGACUCCUACGGGAGGCAGCAGUGGGGAAUCUUGCGCAAUGCGCGAAAGCGUGACGCAGCAACGCCGCGUGAGGGAAGAAGGCCUUCGGGUUGUAAACCUCUUUCAGGAGGGACGAAGGUUCAGGCGCGAAUAGCGUCCUGGACUGACGGUACCUCCAGAAGAAGCCCCGGCUAACUACGUGCCAGCAGCCGCCGUAAUAC
rnacentral:rRNA from 1 species